CUGGGACUGGAGAAUACGGAACCAGACUUCUUUAGAGGAGGCAGCAGUGGGGAAUUUUUGCAAUAAGCGAAGCUGACAGUGAUACAAAGUGAGUGAUGAAGGCUUUUGGGUUGUAAACUCUUUUUUCGUUUAGGAAGAUAUGACAUUAUGCGAGAAUAAGCACCGGGCUAAUUUCGUGCCAGCAGCCGCGGUAAUACGAGAGGUGCAAGCGUUAUCCGGAUUUAUUGGGCGUAAAGCGUUUGUAGAUUGUUUGAAAAGUUUAAUGUUAAAAUUUGAAGCUUAACUUUGAUAAGGCAUUAAAAACUUUUAAGACUAGAGUAAUAUGGAGGUAAAGGGAAUUGAUGGUGUAGAGGUGAAAUUCGUAAAUAUUAUCAAGAACGCCGACGGUGAAAGCACUUUACUAUAUUAAUACUGACAUUGAGGGACGAGAGCUAGGGGAGCAAAGCAGAUUAGAUACCUGCGUAGUCCUAGCUGUAAACGAUGGACACUAAGUUAUGAAUAGUUUUAUUUCUGUAGCUAACGCAAUAAGUGUCCCGCCUGGGGAGUAUGCUUGCAAAAGUGAAACUCAAAGGAAUUGACGGGUGCCUACACAAGCGGUGGAGCAUGAGCAAGAAACGAUGAUACACGAUGAACCUUACCAGGGUUUGACAUUUUGAGAUUUCUUUCUAAAGAGAGAUUUUCCAAAAAAAGGAACUCAAAACAGGUGGUGCAUGGCUGUCGUCAGCUCGUGUCGUGAGACGUUAGGUUAAUUCCAUUAACGAGCGCAACCCUCGUCUCUAGUUAAAUUUCUAUAGAUACUGCCAGUGAUAAAUUGGAGGAAGGAGAGGAUGACGUCAAGUCAGCAUGCCCCUUAUAUUCUGGGCUAGACUCGUGCUACAAUGGUUAAUACAAUGAGAAGCAAAUUUGUGAAGAUGAGCAAAUCUUAAAAGUUGGCCUUAGUUCAGAUCGCUAUCUGCAACUCGAUAGCGUUAAGCCGGAAUCGCUAGUAAUCACCAAUCAGCUAUAUGGUGGUGAAUAAGUUCUUAGGUAUUGUACAGACCGCCCGUCACGCCAUGAAAAUUGACUAGACUCGAAAUAGUCUGUAUUUUAUAAAAAGAUUAUUAAGGUUGGGUUAGUAAUUAGGGCGAAGUCGUAACAAGGUAACCA
rnacentral:rRNA from 1 species